AUCAAUGGCAUGAGAUUCCAUUUUCUCUUUCUCGUCCGCCAAUAUUAAUGUGAUCUUUUUCGUUCGCCUAAGCUUUGACAAACGCCAUUUUAUAAACACUAAACCAUUGUGUCGGUUGUGAAAAAACAACGUAACGUGCCAAUAUUGUCUACUACACCUCUUUAGAUUCCAUUUCUUUUCCUUGUUUAACUUUCUCCAUGUUUCAUUUUAGGAUUGGAGGAACUUAAGAGCACCAUUAUCGGGGGCUCUUAAAGCCCGUAUUUAAUGUUUUCAGAUUUAAAAAUAAAAUAAAAAUUGACUAAUUAAAGAGGAGACGUCGCUUGAUUAAGCCACACAAGAGACGGGUUUUAUGAACACGUGUCAUUAUCUCAUCCCUCUCUCUCUCUACCAAAGCAUUCUCACUCUCUCUUUCAUGACUCCUCGGCAACUCCGACUCCAUCUGCUGAUCUCUCAUCCACGAUGACCUAUCCACGACAACUCCGACUCCAUCAACCGGCGACUCCGACGAUAACCUCUCCGCGACGACUCCGACGCCAUCAGCCGACUCAGAGACUCACUUUUCGUCAACCUCACGUUUUCCUCCGCCGCCGCGUCUUCUUCACACAGAUUAAACGAGGAUAGCAGCCGAUAAAAGAGAAAGAAGUUAAAGAGAAAAAGGAGAAGAACGUGAGAUGGAGAAGGGUGAACUAGAGAAGAAGGAAACAAAGGUGGAGAAGAAGAAGAAGUACACAGUUUGAGAUGGAGUUUCGAAAGAGAGAUCCGGAUCAGAUAUGAGUUUGGGAGAUCACAUAUGGAGUUUCACUUAAUAGAGAACGUGGCAGGGAAGCCAAUGAAACUGACGUCUCUGUCAUUGGAGUAAUGACUUCGUUGUGGUGUGCCUUGCUUCCUACGCAAGCAUCAGAAGUAGCAGCUCAAAUCUGUGAGGUUCAACUGUUCUGUUGCAGCAAAUUCAAGAGAGCGUGGGAGGUUCAUCGUAUAUGCAACUUUUGAUUCAGUUAUUGUAUGACAUACAUUCUCAUGAAUAAAAUUCACAUUCUUAUCAAAAACAA